rnacentral:rRNA from 1 species
UACGGGGGGGGGGCAAGCGUUGUUCGGAAUUACUGGGCGUAAAGGGUUUGUAGGUGGCUCGCUAAGUCAGACGUGAAAUCCCUCAGCUUAACUGGGGAACUGCGUCUGAAACUGAUGAGCUCGAGUGCAGGAGAGGAACGCGGAAUUCCGAGUGUAGAGGUGAAAUUCGUAGAUAUUCGGAAGAACACCAGUGGCGAAGGCGGCUCACUGGCCCGGUUCUGACGCUGAGGUGCGAAAGCGUGGGGAGCAAACAGG